rnacentral:rRNA from 1 species
GAUGAACGCUGGCGGCGUGCCUAAUACAUGCAAGUCGAGCGAACAGACGAGGAGCUUGCUCCUCUGACGUUAGCGGCGGACGGGUGAGUAACACGUGGAUAACCUACCUAUAAGACUGGGAUAACUUCGGGAAACCGGAGCUAAUACCGGAUAAUAUAUUGAACCGCAUGGUUCAAUAGUUAAAGACGGUUUUGCUGUCACUUAUAGAUGGAUCCGCGCCGCAUUAGCUAGUUGGUAAGGUAACGGCUUACCAAGGCAACGAUGCGUAGCCGACCUGAGAGGAUGAUCGGCCACACUGGAACUGAGACACGGUCCAGACUCCUACGGGAGGCAGCAGUAGGGAAUCUUCCGCAAAGGGCGAAAGCCUGACGGAGCAACGCCGCGUGAGUGAUGAAGGUCUUCGGAUCGUAAAACUCUGUUAUUAGGGAAGAACAAAUGUGUAAGUAACUAUGCACGUCUUGACGGUACCUAAUCAGAAAGCCACGGCUAACUACGUG